ACCGCAAAGUCCGUUCCGCUGCGCGGUACACGUUCCUAGCUUGCCCUAUGAACAGCAUGAAGCAGGAGGGAGCUACUCUGGAUGGCUCCGGUUGCUUAGAGGGGUUCGACUGGAUGGGCUCCGAAGCCUUGCUGCUUUAUUUACUCGUAACCACGGGCAAGUUCCUUUGUUUUUAUUUACAAGUAGCAUAGCUAGGAAAAUUAAAUGGGAAAGUGAAUACAAA